rnacentral:lncRNA from 1 species
UGAUUGAAUUGUGGAAAUGAUGAAAUGUUGAUGUUAAACCCAUGAAAUUUGAUUGAACUGUGUGAAUGAUGAAAAUGAUGAUGUUAAACCCAUGAAAUUUGAUAGAAUUGUGGGAAUGAUGAAAAUGUUGUUGUUAAACCUAUGAAAUUGAUUGAAUGGUGGAAAUGAUGAAAUGUUGAUGUUAAACCCAAGAAAUUUGAUUGAAUUGUGUGAAAAAUUAAAAUGUUGUUGUUAAACCCAUGAAAUUUGAUUGAAUUGUGGGAAUAAUGGAAAUGUUGUUAUUAAACACAUGAAUUGUGAUUGAAUUGUGGGAAUGAUGAAAAUGUUGAUGUUAAACCCAUGAAAUUUGAUUGAAUUGUGGGAAUGAUGAAAAUGUUGUUGUUAAACCCAUGAAAUUUGGUUGAAUUAUGGGGAUGAUAAAAAUGUUGUUGUNN